GGAGAGAUGGCUGAGUGGCUGAAGGCGCCGGUCUCGAAAACCGGUAUAUGCAUUCCGCAUAUCGCGGGUUCGAAUCCCGCUCUCUCCGCCA
rnacentral:tRNA from 3 species